rnacentral:rRNA from 1 species
UACGUAGGGGGCGAGAGUUGUCCGGAUUUACUGGGUGUAAAGGGUGCUCAGGCGGAUUUACAAGUCAGAGGUGAAAUACCGGGGCUCAACUCCGGCACUGCCUUUGAUACUGUAAGUCUAGAGUUUGAAAGAGGGUAAUGGAAUAUCUGGUGUAGCAGUGAAAUGCGUAGAUAUCAGAUAGAACACCAAUGGCGAAGGCAGUUACCUGGUUCAACACUGACGCUAAAGCACGAAAGUGUGGGGAGCAAACAGG